CAGUGGGGAAUAUUGGACAAUGGGCGAAAGCCUGAUCCAGCCAUGCCGCGUGUGUGAAGAAGGCUUUCGGGUUGUAAAGCACUUUCAGCGAGGAAGAAAGCGUGCCGGUCAAUACCCGGUACGGACGACAUCACUCGCAGAAGAAGCACCGGCUAACUCCGUGCCAGCAGCCGCGGUAAUACGGAGGGUGCAAGCGUUAAUCGGAAUUACUGGGCGUAAAGCGCGCGUAGGCGGCGUGUCACGCCGGGUGUGAAAGCCCCGGGCUCAACCUGGGAACGGCAUCCGGAACGGGCAGGCUAGAGUGCAGGAGAGGAAGGUAGAAUUCCCGGUGUAGCGGUGAAAUGCGUAGAGAUCGGGAGGAAUACCAGUGGCGAAGGCGGCCUUCUGGACUGACACUGACGCUGAGGUGCGAAAGCGUGGGUAGCAAACAGGAUUAGAUACCCUGGUAGUCCACGCCGUAAACGAUGUCGACUAGCCGUUGGGUCCCUUGAGGACUUAGUGGCGCAGUUAACGCGAUAAGUCGACCGCCUGGGGAGUACGGCCGCAAGGUUAAAACUCAAAUGAAUUGACGGGGGCCCGCACAAGCGGUGGAGCAUGUGGUUUAAUUCGAUGCAACGCGAAGAACCUUACCUACCCUUGACAUCCUGCGAACCCGGAAGAGAUUCCGGGGUGCCUUCGGGAGCGCAGAGACAGGUGCUGCAUGGCUGUCGUCAGCUCGUGUUGUGAAAUGUUGGGUUAAGUCCCGUAACGAGCGCAACCCUUGUCCCUAUUUGCCAGCGAUUCGGUCGGGAACUCUAGGGAGACUGCCGGUGACAAACCNGGAGGAAGGUGGNGGACGACGUCAAGUCAUCAUGGNCCCUUACGGG
rnacentral:rRNA from 1 species